rnacentral:rRNA from 1 species
UACGAAGGGUGCUAGCGUUGCUCGGAAUUACUGGGCGUAAAGGGCGUGUAGGCGGCACUGUUAGUCAGGCGUGAAAGUCCUGGGCUCAACCUGGGAACUGCGCUUAAUACGGCAGAGCUAGAGGAUGGAAGAGGCUCGCGGAAUUCCCAGUGUAGAGGUGAAAUUCGUAGAUAUUGGGAAGAACACCGGUGGCGAAGGCGGCGAGCUGGUCCAUUACUGACGCUGAGGCGCGAAAGCGUGGGGAGCAAACAGG